GCGUUAUUCUUAUCAUAAAAUUCUUAUCUCAUUACAUAAAAAGAAUUUAACGCGCAUUUUAACCCUUCAGUAAUUAUAUUCUUCGAUAUGUUAAAAGAACGUAAACAACACAAAAGCACUUGAUAUCGAUUGAAUUUAACACUUUCAUCAACCGUCCUCUCCAAAUAUGGAAUUUUCGAAAAGGUAAUUAAAUUUUCAAACUAAUUUAUCC